AUUUUGUAGGAUAUACCAUACUACCAUUGUCCAACUGUGAAGAAGUAGGUAGGUAGCCAAUUUUAAAAGUGCAGAUCUUUGAAGACCAGGAUGCGUAAAUGUGAAUUGGAAAGUGGCAACAUAUACCUAGUUCAGACUUCAGACAUUUAGUUAGACAUGAUUUAUGGAAAUUGGAUUCAUUAAUUUUUGGACAUUCAAAACUAUACCAUACUACUAUAGUACUAUUGUCUGAUUGUGAAGAAGUAGGUAGCCAAUUUUAAUAGUGCAGAUCUUAGAAGACCAGGAUGUGUAAAUGUGAAUUGGAAAGCGGCAACAUAUACCUAGUUCAGACUUGAGAAAUUUAGUUAGACAUGAGUUAUGGAAAUUGGAUUCAUUAAUUUUUGGUCAUUCAAAGUAGCUUUAGA